CUAGCAGUAUCAGAGUUUGAUCCUGGCUCAGGACGAACGCUGGCGGCGUGCCUAACACAUGCAAGUCGAACGGAGCACCUUCGGGUGCUUAGUGGCGAACGGGUGAGUAACGCGUGAGAAACCUGCCUUUCAGUGGGGGACAACAGUUGGAAACGACUGCUAAUACCGCAUAAUGUUAUUUGAGGGCAUCCUCGGAUAACCAAAGCUUAAUGUGCUGAAAGAUGGUCUCGCGUCUGAUUAGCUAGAUGGCGGGGUAACGGCCCACCAUGGCGACGAUCAGUAGCCGGUCUGAGAGGAUGAACGGCCACAUUGGGACUGAGAUACGGCCCAG
rnacentral:rRNA from 1 species